GAGCCUAUGCCAGGUGUCAACGGGUUGAACUGGUCGCCAGCCAAUCGCAGGGCACGUGGAGACAGACAACAGCGGCACUCAAAAUCACACCUACGGGCAAUUUAGAGUGUCGAAUUAAUUAAUGUUGCACGUUUUUGGGACGUGGGAGGAAACCCACGCAGGCACGGGGAGAACACGCAAACUCCACACAGGCGGGUCUGGGAUUGAACCCAGGAACUCGGGACUGUGAGGCCGACGCUAAUUAGUUAGCGGGUGAGCUAGCAAGUUAGCAUCGGCGCUCACCCAAAUCAGCCCAUUUAAGACGUGGAAUUCAUGAAUUUGCUGUUGACAACGUCGUCAGAUUAUCGCGCGCGUGUCAGAGCGAGCGCGUGUGUUUGUGUUUGUUUGCGCGGGUGCGCGUUGCGAUGGCGUCAUGCGCGCGUCCCCCCCCCCCGCCUCUGGAGCGUGCGCGCGCGUGCACGUGUGUCUGGACGCCCACUUCAGUCAGCAGAAGCAGCAGCAGCAGCGGCGGCGGCGCGAGACGCGCUGCUGGAUCCGAGAAAGUGAGACCGCUGCGGGACGCUUUUUUUUUUUUUGGAGACUCCCCAUCGCUCGGCGAGUUGACUCGACUUGCACCGGAAUCCGGUUGCGUUUUGUUUUUCCCCCGGGUAUGGAUCUCCCACCGGCGGGGACCGGACGGCGGGUCUCGGCACCGAAACGGUGGUGAUUUUGUUGUCACCCGCGAGAUCGGAACCGGGCGGCUACGGUUUUCGGAGCGGAUUUUUUUUUUUUGCUGUUGUUUUUGCGAAGUUGGCGACCACAUGUGAGCGCCGCCGGGGACCAAAAGUUUCACCUCUCCUCCCUCCCAUGGGGUGACCCACCUCGGGGUCCUGAGACGUGACUGUGGGACAGGCGUUCUCCCACCCGGGCCCUCCUUCCGGGACCUUCCCCCAAGGCGAUGUUCACAGCCCCGACGUAUUCCCCAGCCCGACCUCGCGGUUUGAAUGAAUCUUCUCGGUGAAGCCGCCGUGCUGUGCCAGCCCGUCGCCAUGAGGAGCAGAUACUCGCAGUACUACAACCGGACUCUGAUCCCCUCCUACUACGUGUUCGCCAAGAACAUGACCAUCGAGGAGCUGGACAAGCGCUACGAGGACAAGAAGGUGCUGACGGACCCCAGCAUCAUCAUUGUGGUCCUGUGCACUAUCAUCAUCCUGGAGAACCUGCUGGUGCUCAUCGCCGUGUGCCGCAACAAGAAGUUCCACUCGGCCAUGUUCUUCUUCAUCGGCAACCUGGCCUUCUCCGACCUCUUGGCCGGCUCGGCCUACAUCGCCAACAUUUUCCUGUCGGGCUCGCGGACCUUCGACCUGGUGCCCGUGCAGUGGUUCAUCCGCGAGGGGACGGCGUUCAUCGCUCUGGCCGCGUCGGUCUUCAGCCUCCUGGCCAUCGCCAUCGAGCGCUACAUCGCCAUCACCAAGGUCAAAGUCUACGGCUCCACCAAGACGUGCCGCAUGUUCCUGCUCAUCGGAGCCUGCUGGGUGACGUCCAUCCUGCUGGGCGGUCUGCCCAUCAUCGGCUGGAACUGCAUCGACAACCUCCCCGAGUGCUCGGCCGUGCUGCCGCUCUACUCCAAGAAGUACAUCCUCUUCGUGGUGACCAUCUUCAGCCUCAUCCUGCUCUCCAUCGUCAUCCUCUACGUGAGGAUCUACUUGAUCGUGCGCUCCAGCCACCAGGAAGCCACAAACUCCCCCGCCUACGCCCUCCUGAAAACCGUCACCAUCGUGCUGGGCGUCUUCAUCAUGUGCUGGCUGCCCGCCUUCACCAUCCUCCUCCUGGAUUCGUCGUGCACCAUCCAGUCCUGCCCCGUCCUCUACAAGGCCGACAUCUUCUUCGGCUUCGCCACGCUCAACUCGGCGCUCAACCCCGUCAUCUACACGCUGCGGAGCAAGGACAUGCGCAAGGAGUUCCUGCGCGUGCUUUGCUGCUGGGGCGUGCUGCAGAGCGGGCGGCCCGCCGACCGCUGCAUGGUGCCGCUCAAGAGCUCCAGCUCUCUGGAGCACUGCACGCACAAACACGAACACCAGACCACGCCCAUCAUGCAGGACUGCACCACUUGCGUGUGACGGCGGGGGAAAAAAAAAAACAAAAGAGCGGAUGCAAUCGUGUGAACUCGCAAUCGGAUGGCGCCCGUGUCGGGGUGUGAAACCACUUUUUAACACCAAACGAAAACUCCAAAUUGGGGGUGCUUUGGAAAAUGUGAAACUGUUCAUGGGUACUCUGAUGAAAUCUUGUCUGUGGUCCCCGUCUCCCUGUUAGGCUGGAUUUACACUGCAUGGUGUGACACAAAUAUGAUUUUUAUUUUUUUUUUUGGCGCAAUUUGGAUUUUAAAUGGAAUAAAUAGACGCUGCGGCACGGUGGUUCGGCUGGUAAACCGUCGGCCUCACAGUUCUGAGGACCCGCGUUCGAUCGCGGCCCCGCCUGUGUGGAGUUUGCGUGUUCUCGCCGUGCCUGCGUGGGUUUUCUCCAGGUAUUCCGGUUUACUCCCGCAUCCCAAAAAACAUGCAACAUGAAUUGGACACUCUAAAUUGCCCAUAGGUGUGAUUGUGAGUGCGACUGUUUCUUUCCAUGUAGCCUGCGAUUGGCUGGCGACCAGUUGAGGGCGGGGUACACCCUGAAUUGGUCGCCAGGCGAUCGCAGGGCACCCCCCAAAAAAACACAUUUAGACAAAUUAGAAAACAGCCGCUGUAAAUCUAAAAAGCAAAAGCCUAAACUAGGGGUGUCAAACUCGUUUUUCUCAAGGGCCAGAUUGUUGUUCCGGUUUCCCUCAGAGGGCCGUUUAUAACUGUGGAACAAAAAUAUUCAAUCAUCUCAACAUAUUUACAUCAGGGUAUCAGGAAUCAAGGGCAGUGUGUUUUCCAACUAUUCACGUUUGGUCACACACAAAUGCUUUUAUUAUCUCAACUUUAUCAUUUAUGAUGGAUUAAAAAUUGUAAAUUUUACAGAUUCUCGAUUUGGCUUCGCAGGCCACAUAAAAUCACGUGGUGGCCCAGAUCCGGCCCCCGCGGCUUUGACACCAUUGAAUAAUGGCUACAUUGGGGUUGUGUUUAUCAUUAAAUAAGAACAACGACAGCGUCCUGCGGAGUGACGCCGCGGUUACCCGCGUUUAAACGAACGCCUCGGAAGCCCAAUCCGUGAACGCCACGUAACCUUUUAACGUUUGUAUUUAUCGAUUUAUUGUUUCGAUUUUUGUCGCCGCUGCCCCGUGUUAUUUCUGUGCAAUGUGGGAACGCGUGUGUGCAAGAAAUUGGAAUUGAGCACUUGGAACCUGCGGCGUAAAUCCAGCCUUCGAAGCCCCCAAAAAACCAAAAAGACCCGCUCAACACCGCAUUUGAAAGUCGUGCGGUUCCGCGCCGUCUUCAACGCAAAGCUCGCAGCGUUGCACUUUUGUAGCUCCCCGACGUCCUCGCGUAUUUUUUUAUUUUUUUUUACAUUUGGGAUUUCCUCUGAAUUCAUGAAUGACAAAUGACUCUUUGACGAUGCUUUGAUUGUAACACGAGCCAUGUGAUUGCUAAUUUCUCUGCGUUGUAUUGUACUUGAUGAAGAUAUGAACUCGUGUGCGCUUUAAAAAAAAAAAAGAACGUAUCCAAAACAAAAAAACGGAAAAAAAAAAGGUGAAUACAGGACAUAAUGGGCCUUCCUAUUUAUAAAACAUUCCACAAUGCACGGCAUCGGCUAAAAGCAGCGCUAUAUAAUCCCCAUAUAACCUUACAUAAAAACCCUUCUGAGUAACAUGAAUGCAUGGAAUUGUAGCUCAUUACACGUUUAUGAUUUAUUCCAGCCUUGCAUCACUAACCCCCCCCCCUUUUUUUUUUCUAUUUUUCCUUGUGCCUCCUUAUUUUUUUUUUUUUUUUAAAGCUCGUCUUGUGUAUCUUAACGGUUUCCUUUAAGGGAAAGCACAUUUCCUCCAGUGAUUCGCUUUUAACUGUUUAUUUAAUUUUUUUUUUUUUUCUGACAGUGUUGUUAGCAACGUCUCUGUUUGCGCCGUCCCCCUCUCGGGGACUUUGGCUGAAUGUAUGCAUGAAGAAGACGAAGGAGAGGUUUCGGGGCGGGGGUCCCGCGGUCGACAGUAUUACUGCUCAUAGUGGCUCACUGUGAAGUCUUAAAACAAAAGAAAGCGCGUCCCGGUUUCAAUUACUCGCCACAAAAAAAGAAAACGUGGGACCAGAUCUGGUUUCAAACAUACCGAGCGA